AGAGUUUGAUCAUGGCUCAGGACGAACGCUGGCGGCGUGCUUAACACAUGCAAGUCGAACGGAAAGGCCCCUUCGGGGGUACUCGAGUGGCGAACGGGUGAGUAACACGUGGGUGAUCUGCCCUGCACUUUGGGAUAAGCCUGGGAAACUGGGUCUAAUACCGAAUAGGACCGCAUGCUUCAUGGUGUGUGGUGGAAAGCUUUUGCGGUGUGGGAUGGGCCCGCGGCCUAUCAGCUUGUUGGUGGGGUAAUGGCCUACCAAGGCGACGACGGGUAGCCGGCCUGAGAGGGUGUCCGGCCACACUGGGACUGAGAUACGGCCCAGACUCCUACGGGAGGCAGCAGUGGGGAAUAUUGCACAAUGGGCGCAAGCCUGAUGCAGCGACGCCGCGUGGGGGAUGACGGCCUUCGGGUUGUAAACCUCUUUCAGUAUCGGCGAAGCUCCAGGAUUUUUCUUGGGGUGACGGUAGGUACAGAAGAAGCACCGGCCAACUACGUGCCAGCAGCCGCGGUAAUACGUAGGGUGCGAGCGUUGUCCGGAAUUACUGGGCGUAAAGAGCUCGUAGGUGGUUUGUCACGUUGUCCGUGAAAACUCACAGCUUAACUGUGGGCGUGCGGGCGAUACGGGCAGACUGGAGUACUGCAGGGGAGACUGGAAUUCCUGGUGUAGCGGUGGAAUGCGCAGAUAUCAGGAGGAACACCGGUGGCGAAGGCGGGUCUCUGGGCAGUAACUGACGCUGAGGAGCGAAAGCGUGGGGAGCGAACAGGAUUAGAUACCCUGGUAGUCCAA
rnacentral:rRNA from 1 species